UACGUAGGGUGCGAGCGUUAAUCGGAAUUACUGGGCGUAAAGCGUGCGCAGGCGGUUCGUUAAGUUUGUCGUGAAAGCCCCGGGCUCAACCUGGGAAUGGCGAUGGAAACUGGCGGGCUUGAGUAUGGCAGAGGGGGGUGGAAUUCCGCGUGUAGCAGUGAAAUGCGUAGAGAUGCGGAGGAACACCGAUGGCGAAGGCAGCCCCCUGGGCCAAUACUGACGCUCAGGCACGAAAGCGUGGGGAGCAAACAGG
rnacentral:rRNA from 1 species